rnacentral:rRNA from 1 species
UACGUAGGGUCCGAGCGUUGUCCGGAGUUACUGGGCGUAAAGGGCGCGCAGGCGGCGGUGCUGGCCCGGCGUGAAAGCCCCCGGCUCAACCGGGGAGGGUCGUCGGGGACCGCACCGCUUGAGGGCGGUAGGGGCCGGUGGAAUGCCUGGUGUAGUGGUGAAAUGCGUAGAGAUCAGGCAGAACACCUGGGGCGAAGGCGGCCGGCUGGGCCGACCCUGACGCUGAAGCGCGAAAGCUAGGGGAGCGAACGGG